ACACUGGGUACGAAAAAAAAAAUGUUCUAAAUAAUUGUUAAAUAACAUACUUAAGUAACAUCAAGAAUUUGCUUAAACAAGAAAGAGAUCUCAACAUAUUAUUAAUUAUUAUUACUCCAAAUAAGGCACAGUGCACAGUUUAACAUCACAAGACUCAUCAGAGUUAAAAAAGUUUCUUUAAAAAUUCAUACAUAAUAUUAUGUUCGUGUGUACUGUUUCAUUAACAUUUAACUAUGGUACUAAGAUCCAGAACUCUAACUAUUGGAAAAAUAAUUGGUAAAGAACACAUUAAAUGCAAAAUUAACCAAGUGUACUUAGAGUAAUAUCCUAUGUAAGACAAUUACUAAUAUCCUAUGUAAGGAGUAAUAUCCUAUGUAAGGAACUCUAUUAUUCAAUCUCAAACAUAUAACAAAUGAUAGCAAACAAACAAAAUAAAUAAUAGUUAAAAAAUUAACUUUAAAUCGUAUUUGGUCAAGACUGUAAUACUGGAACCUCAAAUAAUUAAACUUAUAAAAAAUAUGCUACUUAGGGGGCCUUGCGUAACGCUUCCUAAAUCAAUUUAUGCCUAAACGCAUUUAAUAAUGUCAUUGCAUCUUUUUCUAAUCCAAACAGAUGACGGAGAAACAAUAAUUGCAUUUUAAUGCAUUUACCCAUAAAUUUAUUUAGGAAAUGUUACAUAAGACGACCGUAUACUUGUUAUUAAUCAGCCUUAACACUUUGACUUCUUAUACUUUAUAACAUCAAAAUGAAAGCAACCACAAAUUAUAAUAUACUCGUAAUACUAAUAUUAAUAACAUAAUAUCAAAACAAAACUGUAGCAAAAAUAAAUUAAAAAUCGCAAUCAGGAUCUUCUACGUCUGAUUCUGGUAACACAUCUUUCAUAUUCGCAUCCCGUGGAAUGUUCAAAUAUUCAUGAUGAAAACAAGCUGGAAUGACUUGGUCAGUACAAAGUUUCUGAAGAUCGUGAUAUUUCUUUUGGAAAUGGGCAGUAGUGAUUUAUAGCAGGACAUAAGUGGGACCCUAGUCUUAGGCUGGACUUCAACCAACAUCGAAUAAUUUGGCAACAGAAUUCAUAGAUGUUUUUAUAGAAACAAUGUGUUUGUCUUUCUUAAAAGUUGCAAUCCGAACUUUACUUAUUUUGCCAGUAAGAUUUCCUUUAAAAUAUUUGUCUCCAAUGUUAUCCCAUUUUUUAAAUUGAUCAUAAGAUAUUCGCUCAACAUUAAAUGGCGAUGGAUUCUUUCUAGCAGUUGAGAAAAUGGUGAACCAUUGGGAAGGUGCAUAAACAGUUGUAUGUUUAAGGUUAUUUUCAAUGAUGGCGUGAGACGUAUCUACUGGCAUAUAAGUGUGCCCAGUUAGUAGGAAAUUCAACUGAAUUGUUUCAAGAUUAUUACAUUCCUGCAAAGUUUGAUGAAUCAUUCCCAUAACAUUGCGGUUCCGGUUUUGCCCUGGACAAUAAUCGCAGUAUAACAGCAAUCGUUUAACAUUUCCUCUGGCAUCAACAGAUUUAAUGUAUUUAUGCAAAAUUGUUGCUACUUCAUUUGCACCUCGUUUACCAUUUGAUUCGUCCCAAUAAUAACAGAAUACUUUACGAGUGCCAUUCUCGUAGAAACAUAGGUUAUAAACAGCCAGUUUUCUACUAUAGUAUAAUAGCAUUGAAGGUGAAUAUGGCGUAUUCAACACCUUUUGAAGACCAAAGCUGACGCAUAAUGUAGAAGAAUCAUCUUUAUGGAUAUUUUUGUGACUUUUGAAACGGGCGUAACUUUCUUCUUUUUCUUUCUCAUGCUGUUCUUUUUCUUUCAGUUUAUCAGGAUCAGUGUUUUUUUCAAACAUAAGGCAUUUCUUGCACUUAUCUUUCUUUGGUACAUGAAAGCCGACGUUAAACUGCUCAUGAAAUAUUUUGCGAAAAAUUCUCUCACUCAUAAUAUAUCCAUACCUUGAUUAAUGACAUUAUUUUUAUAAAUUCCGUAAAGAGUUGGUAUGUUCUUGAAUUCUUCUGGUAAAUAAACUUUACUGGAAUCUUGGCGGCCAUAGUGCGAUGGUAAAGCAGGCAAACUUUUUAUAAAGUUUAAAACGGCAUCCAGAGUAGUUUGUUUGGUUUUAUUUGACGGCUCCAUCUUUCCUCUCAUGUCUUCCUUGGCACAUCCCCACUCUGCAUUUUUAACAAUACUAUAAAUAGUUUUAUCUGAAACAUUCAUAGUGGCUACUAAGAACUGUAAGCAUACAUUUCUCUUACCUUCUCCUUCAUUUAUAAAAUAUUUUAUAGUACAGUUGGGUUUUUCAGACUCACUGCGCUUGCGCUUCACACCUACUCUUUGCGCCAAUGAUACCAACCAAUCUCAUCAUCGAGUUGUAUCCAGUUUCCAGAAAUGGUUAAAUAUGCUUUCUUUUCUUUCUUCGGGGACAGAUCCACAGUUAUUCCCAUAUUUUUUUCCUUGACAUGGAUUCGGGAGAACUUUCUUGGCUGGUACUGUCACUCCCUUCUUAGUUGUAUAUUCUUCCCCAGCUCUCUUCUUCUAAGAUCAUUCUUUUCUUUCAUUAUUUUUUCUUUCCCUCAAUCCAGCGUCACCUACAGUUUCUUCUUCUAUGCCCGAUCCAUUCGUUGUUGGUUUUCUUCUUCUGAAAUUCUUUUUCUUUUUUCUUUUUUUACCCGUUGACUCUGCAUCAUCUGUUUCCUCGUCGCUUGCACUUGCGCUCGACUGACUCGUUCCGAAUACGAAUGCAGUAUGCAGUACGUUAUGCAUAACCGACAUUCAAAACAUGGUUGCGCCUCCUAAGCGCCUAUUAUUCGUUUUGAAAUUCAAAUAAAAUUAUCUAAGCGACACGUUUGGCACAACAUUAAGGCAAGUAAAACUAUCUAAGCGACAUUCGGUUCCAAACUUAUUAGUCAGGUAAAAUUAUCUAAGCGACAUCAAGUUGGUAUCGUUUUUUUAUGUAAAAUUAUCUAAGUUCUUUUUUAUACCUAUUUCGCAACAAGCAAAAAUGUCUAAGCACAAAUGAUGUCAAAUACAUUUUUAGGAACAAAUGUAUAAGGACACGUUUGGAUCAUAUUUCUGUUUGUAAAAAAAUCGGUAAGCGACUAUGAUAGCAAAAUCUAGAACAGGAAAAAAUACCGUACUGCUUGGUGCAUAUGAUUUUACUUUCAGUAAAUUUAUCUAAGUUAACGGUUAAUAUAAUUUUAAGACAGGAACAAAUUACUAUUCGUUUUUUUUUAUAACUCAAACUGUCCAACCAACCGAUAUAUAGAAAAUUAGGACAUUUUUGUUGCUUAGUCAGUUGAAAAUGUGAGAAUACUUAAGAUUCACGUACUUCCUAAGCGACAACAAAUCUCAACGCAGCGCUACGAGACCCAGACCAAUCGACGCGGAUUUUUAUGGCGAGUCUAAUGAUAUAUAUAUAUGUCGUUUUACCAAAUCUUGUCGGUUAGGGAGCUUUGCCUUUCAUGCGUUGAUAAGAAGAUAUUUUAAUUAGUAACGAAAGGGUCCGCAAGAGGCGCUGAACGGAUGAAAUUAAUGCUUGUCCAUUUAAAUUUCCCGCCAAAUGGUGAUUAGUUAACACUACGGUCGCAAGUGGCGAAAGGAACCAAAUUUUUACAGUGAGUUGCCUAUCUAUCCGGUAAUACUAUAUUAUUAAUCUAUGGUAAUACUAUAUUAUUAAUCUAUGGCCGUUGCCCGGCCUUGCCGUGGAUUGUUGUUUGUAUUUUGUAUUAUUUGUGCUUUUUAAGAAUAUUUUUUUAAUUCGGAUACUUUUAUAAUAGCUUUAAUAGUAUUAUUAACAUAGUGCAUAAAAUGGUGUCCUGUUUUUAACGCAGUUGGAGUAGCAGAAACAAAUGUAGAUAAAAAAAUCUGCAGGAAUAACGUUUCAAUUAUGACAGAAGCUCAAAACAAAUGACUGUGAAUGAAAAGCCCUAUUAAAAGCUUUCCAGAAGAUCCUGCGAAGAAGACAAGAAAGUAUAGAUUAGAUUUGUUAAUAGGGCUUUUCAUUCACAGUCAUUUGUUUCGAGCUUCUGUCAUGUGUCACAUAAUAUUAAUAUAUCUACGUCAUACAUUAUUGACAUAUACCAAUGAUACAAACCAAAGACGUAUGACGUAGAUAUAUUAAUUUUAUGUGACACAUGACAGAAGCUCGAAACAAAUGACAAUCGAUGAAAAGCCCUAUAGAGGAGUAUGUUCAAAACACUUUUUAGAAAAAGAUAUUGACAGAACUUCACUUUCAUCUGUUCGUUUGAGAGACUGUGCUGUUCCAAUAGCUUAUGUCACACAGAAUCAGCUGAGAGAAGUGGUCUACAAAAAACCAGAAAGGAAACGGAAUAUGUGGCUACGAAAAGCAAAAGAAAGGUUUACAAAGCAAAUGUGACACAUUUUUUAAUAAUAUUUAGGAAUGUCAGCAAAUUACAUUAAAAAAUGUAUGUAAAGAUUUUUUGCAAUAAAAAUGUUUAUAUUUA